AUUGAACGCUGGCGGCGUGCCUAACACAUGCAAGUCGAACGAGUGGCGAACGGGUGAGUAACGCAUCGGAACGUGCCCAAUCAAGGGGGAUAACUGCCCGAAAGGACAGCUAAUACCGCAUACGAUUCGAGCGGCCGAGGUUGGAUUAGCUGGCUGGGGGGGUAAAGGCCCACCAAGGCGACGAUCCGUAGCGGGUCUGCGAGGAUGAUCCGCCACACUGGGACUGGGACACGGCCCAGACUCCUACGGGAGGCAUCAGUGGGGAAUUGUGGACAAUGGGCGCAAGCCUGACCCAGCCAUGCCCCGGGGCUGAAGAAGGCCUUCGGGUUGUAAAGGACUUUUGUCAGGGAAGCGGUACCUGAAGGAUAAGCCACGGCUAACUACGUGCCAGCAGCCGCGGUAAUUC
rnacentral:rRNA from 1 species